GAGAUAGCUGGUUCUCUCCGAAAUAGCUUUAGGGCUAGCCUCAAGUGAUGAUUAUUGGAGGUAGAGCACUGUUUGGACGAGGGGCCCCUCUCGGGUUACCGAAUUCAGACAAACUCCGAAUGCCAAUUAAUUUAACUUGGGAGUCAGAACAUGGGUGAUAAGGUCCGUGUUCGAAAGGGAAACAGCCCAGACCACCAGCUAAGGUCCCAAAAUAUAUGUUAAGUGGAAAAGGAUGUGGCGUUGCCCAGACAACUAGGAUGUUGGCUUAGAAGCAGCCAUCAUUUAAAGAGUGCGUAAUAGCUCACUAGUCGAGUGACACUGCGCCGAAAAUGUACCGGGGCUAAACAUAUUACCGAAGCUGUGGAUUGUCCUUUGGACAAUGGUAGGAGAGCGUUCUAAGG
rnacentral:rRNA from 1 species